rnacentral:rRNA from 1 species
CCUACGGGGGGCAGCAGUGGGGAAUAUUGGACAAUGGGGGGAACCCUGAUCCAGCCAUGCCGCGUGUGUGAAGAAGGCCCUCGGGUUGUAAAGCACUUUCAGUGAGGAAGAACGCCUGGUGGUUAAUACCCAUCAGGAAAGACAUCACUCACAGAAGAAGCACCGGCUAACUCCGUGCCAGCAGCCGCGGUAAUACGGAGGGUGCGAGCGUUAAUCGGAAUUACUGGGCGUAAAGCGCGCGUAGGUGGCUUGGUAAGCCGGUUGUGAAAGCCCCGGGCUCAACCUGGGAACGGCAUCCGGAACUGUCAAGCUAGAGUGCAGGAGAGGAAGGUAGAAUUCCCGGUGUAGCGGUGAAAUGCGUAGAGAUCGGGAGGAAUACCAGUGGCGAAGGCGGCCUUCUGGACUGACACUGACACUGAGGUGCGAAAGCGUGGGUAGCAAACAGGAUUAGAUACCCCAGUAGUC